rnacentral:tRNA from 1 species
GAGGCUUUAGUAUAAUAGUUAAGUAUAACUUAUUUUCAAUAAGUAGGUUUUAAGUCUUA